AAAAAAAGACUCAGAGUCAUUGGGAAUGGGAAAGUGGUUCAGCCUUCUGAAACCAUUCGUCAAGGAUCUGAUGUCAUUUACAAAUAUCACGGUAUCAUGUCGAUGGCGGUGGAGGAGGACAGCGCAGACUCGGGGUCUGACAGAAAGGCUCGGGUGCAGGUGACCAGCUGGGGGCAGCAGCACCCUCCUCACGACAGGACAAAACCCCAGCACACCGUCCGCACACGAACACCAGAGCU